rnacentral:lncRNA from 1 species
AAGAGAGAAAGAGAGAGAUGUAUCUGACAAUAGUUGGUAGAUUCUUUGCCGGAAUUGAAACCAGUACCCUUAGCUCCACAUUGUUACAGAAUGCCUGGAAUAGUGUACUUCGUACGGCUUCCAAGGACAUAUAGCAUGUGUUGCAAGGUGUAAGAUGGAUGUCAUGAAAAAAGUUACUGCCCAGACAUGGAGGGAAGAAAGAGAAAAACAACAUACAUUGAAUAUUAUAAGAAAAAGCAACAGUAUAAGUUUUGCGAUAAAAAGAGGCAUCUAACGGAAUAUUUCAUAUGCAUGUAAUAAAUAUUCAGAUGCUAGUUGUAAGCCAAGCCUUGUUAGAUAAGGAUAAUAAAUUACGAUAAUCCGGUGAAGUCGUAGACACUUGUGAAAUCCUCUAUAUUCGUAUAUGACUACUAAUAACCAUCAAACCGCUCGAUUAUCGAUGAAUAAAUAACACUACCAGAAACGGUAUUAGCAUCUUGUGAAUAAUAAAAUAAAAGCUAAGUAAAUCAAAGAAAUACAUGUUCUUAAAGAAGUCUUUACAGAUCAAUGGAACUAGAUGUAUAUUUUGUCUCUAAGUCAGUUACAGCUUCAGAAAUUCUUCGUUAUUGCUACUUUUUCUAGAUUUAUGACGAGAGAGAAAGAAAUAAAGAAGACGGACAGACAAUAAGAUUUUACCUUAAUUAACUUAAUUAUUUUGAAAUGAAAUUUCCUGGGAUUGAUUUUAAUUGCAAGGCCUUAAUUUUCGGACCUCGAGUAAUACAUCGACAAAACCGAAUUAAUUACACUACAGCUCAUAAUUAAUUACUUCAAUAAAAAAACUAUUGUUUUAAAAUUUUGGCACAAGGCCAGAAAUUCUAUUGUAAGGCGAUUAUAUCGGCCUCAGAACUCAACAGGCACUUAUUUUAUCGACUUCGAAAGGAUGAAAGGCAAAGUCGACCUCGGCGAAAUUUGAACCCAGAACCUAACUGAAUUCUCCGAACUGAAUAAAAUAAUGACUUGAGAUAGAUAUAUGAGUUAUUACCUAGGUUUUGGACUGUUUCUUGCCUGGGUUCAGAACUGUUUGAAUUAUGUAUAAUAUUUAUACUUCACGCAUGUCUUAGCAUCUUUCAAAUACACCUGGAUUUCAAAAAAUUCGAUUUCCAUGCGCCUGUAUUAAUUCGGGCUUUAAGUCUCUGUUUCUCUCACUCAUUCACUAUCUAUCUAUCUAUCUAUCUAUCUAUCUAUC